AAAAUAAAAUUGUAACAAGGUUUCGGUGGGGACCCAGGGGAGGGAUCAUUCCCGUAAAAGGCAGGCCCCUGGAGGCCGAUCCCUCCAAUCCCCGUGGAACCCAAGCCCCUUGGUUCCCUCGGGGCCGUCGGGCCCCCCAGCCCCCCCCCCACUCAUUGCACAAGAUGUUUAUUUUUUAGGCUCCGGCACCGAUGAAGGACGCAGCGAAAUGCGAUAGGUAGUGGGAAUUGCAGAUCUCCGCGAGCCAUCGAACCUCUGAACGCACAUGGCGCCCGCCGGACCCCCCCGGCGGGCACGCCCGUCCGAGCGUCUGUUCCCUCGACCCCGGGCCCGGCCCGGUUGCUGGGGCCCCGCGGCUGCCGCGGGGCCUCGAAAUGCAGCGACGGCGGUCACGUGAGCCCCUGGCAGAGCCAAGCAGGACCCCUGCGCCUCGGGCCCGCGGUGGUGGCUGUUCCCCUCCUAAGACGACCUCGGAUCGGGCGGGAGACCCCGCGAACAAA
rnacentral:rRNA from 1 species